rnacentral:tmRNA from 2 species
GGGGACGUUCUUGGAUUCGACAGGGGUCCCCAGAGCUCAUGAAGCGUGUCGGAGGGUUGUCUCCGCAACAACACACUCAGUUUAUAAUAACUGGCAAAUCAAACAAUAAUUUAGCAGCAGCUGCGUAAUAGCACUCUGCAUCACCUAAUCGCAUCGCCUAUGUGCGAUUAACGUGAUUCAACCUUAGUAGGAUACGCUGAAUGGCUGCCGUUUGAAGUUCAUUCAGAAGAGACGAAUCAAACUAGUACAACGUUGGUUGUCUGUCACCGUUCGUUGUGCGAAAUUUUAAGAUAGACUACACACGUAGAAACAUUUGUAUCAGGACCUCUGGACGCGGGUUCGAAUCCCGCCGUCUCCACUA